rnacentral:rRNA from 1 species
UGCCGGCGACCGGCGGACGGGUGCGUAACGCGUAUGUAACCUACCUUUGACAGGGGGAUAACAUCGAGAAAUUGGUACUAAUACCCCAUAACGUCACCGGAGGCAUCUUCGGUGGUUGAAAACUCAGGUGGUCAGAGAUGGACAUGCGUUGUAUUAGCUAGUUGGUGAGGUAACGGCUCACCAAGGCGACGAUACAUAGGGGGACUGAGAGGUCAACCCCCCACAUUGGUACUGAGACACGGACCAAACUCCUACGGGAGGCAGCAG